AUUGAACGCUGGCGGCAGGCCUAACACAUGCAAGUCGAGCGAGCGGCGGACGGGUGAGUAAUGUAUGGGGACUGCCCGAUAGAGGGGGAUAACUACUGGAAACGGUAGCUCAUACCGCAUACUAUCGGAUACCCCCUAUGGGAUUAGCUAGUAGGUGAGGUAAUGGCUCACCUAGGCGACGAUCCCUAGCUGGUCUGAGAGGAUGAUCAGCAACACUGGGACUGAGACACGGCCCAGACUCCUACGGAGGAAGCAGUGGGGAAUAGUGCACAAGGGGCGAAAGGCUGAUGCAGCCAUGCGGCGUGUGUGAAGAAGGCCUGCGGGUUGUAAAGCACUUUAAGCGAGGAGGCGUUACUCGCAGAAGAAGCACCGGCUAACUCCGUGCCAGCAGCCGCGGUAAUAC
rnacentral:rRNA from 1 species